rnacentral:rRNA from 1 species
GAUGAACGCUGGCGGCGUGCCUAAUACAUGCAAGUCGAGCGAACAGACGAGGAGCUUGCUCCUCUGACGUUAGCGGCGGACGGGUGAGUAACACGUGGAUAACCUACCUAUAAGACUGGGAUAACUUCGGGAAACCGGAGCUAAUACCGGAUAAUAUAUUGAACCGCAUGGUUCAAUAGUGAAAGACGGUUUUGCUGUCACUUAUAGAUGGAUCCGCGCCGCAUUAGCUAGUUGGUAAGGUAACGGCUUACCAAGGCAACGAUGCGUAGCCGACCUGAGAGGGUGAUCGGCCACACUGGAACUGAGACACGGUCCAGACUCCUACGGGAGGCAGCAGUAGGGAAUCUUCCGCAAUGGGCGAAAGCCUGACGGAGCAACGCCGCGGGAGUGAUGAAGGUCUUCGGAUCGUAAAACUCUGUUAUUAGGGAAGAACAAAUGUGUAAGUAACGAUGCACGUCUUGACGGUACCUAAUCAGAAAGCCACGGCUAACUACGU